AAAAUGGAGUGGCAUCACCAGACAAAUAUAGUAUUUAUACAACAUUUAACCAAACACUAUACUUGGCCAUCGCUCUUUCUAUGCAGGUGUUUAGGACUUGUCCUUCAUACAUAGGAUGGGCAUACCAAAGUGAGAGGAGUAUUUCUCUCAUCUAGACCAAGCUUUAGUGGCAUCUCUUCUGGAACACCAGCAUGUCCUUGGUCCAGAUCUUUCUUCUGUCACACCUCUUCCCCAGUAUGAAGAGCAUAGAAAUUGAGAGAGUGCCACAAAACAGAAGACAACAUGGAGAGAUGUGGACAUGGCCCAUACCGUCCAUCCUCAUGUAACAAAAGAUGCCUUGUUCCAAUAUGCCAUGUCCCGACCAUGCACGUUGACAAUUACAAAGCAAGCAGGCAUGCAACAAAGAAAGCACACCAGGCUCCUUUGCAUCAAAAGGAAGUGGAAACAGCAAAAAUGCAAAUGACUUGAUAUUUUCCCCCCUUUCUUGCAUAAUAUA
rnacentral:lncRNA from 1 species